CGUGAGGAACCUGCCUUGGAGAGGGGAAUAACACUCCGAAAGGAGUGCUAAUACCGCAUGAUGCAGUUGGGUCGCAUGGCUCUGACUGCCAAAGAUUUAUCGCUCUGAGAUGGCCUCGCGUCUGAUUAGCCAGUAGGCGGGGUAACGGCCCACCUAGGCGACGAUCAGUAGCCGGACUGAGAGGUUGACCGGCCACAUUGGGACUGAGACACGGCCCAG
rnacentral:rRNA from 1 species